CUCCGGACUGGCCCAGAGAGGUGGGCAACUACCACUCAGGGCCGGAAAGUUGUCCAAACUCGGUCAUUUAGAGGAAGUAAAAGUCGUAACAAGGUCUCCGUUGGUGAACCAGCGGAGGGAUCAUUACAGAGUUACUACUCCAAACCCAUUGUGAACCUUACCUAUGUUCUGUUGCCUCGGCGGCGUGGUCAGCGCCCCCUCUGAAAAGAGGACGAUGCCCUCCCGCCGGCAGCACCAAACUCUUUGAAUUUUACAGCGGAUUACAGUUCUGAUUUGAAAACAAAAAAACAAGUUAAAACUUUCAACAACGGAUCUCUUGGUUCUGGCAUCGAUGAAGAACGCAGCGAAAUGCGAUAAGUAAUGUGAAUUGCAGAAUUCAGUGAAUCAUCGAAUCUUUGAACGCACAUUGCGCCCGGCAGUAAUCUGCCGGGCAUGCCUGUCCGAGCGUCAUUUCAACCCUCGAACCUCCGUUUCCUCAGGGAAGCUCAGGGUCGGUGUUGGGGCGCUACGGCGAGUCUUCGGCGACCCUCCGUAGGCCCUGAAAUACAGUGGCGGUCCCGCCGCGGUUGCCUUCUGCGUAGUAAGUCUCUUUUGCAAGCUCGCAUUGGGUCCCGGCGGAGGCCUGCCGUCAAACCACCUAAUAACUCCAGAUGGUUUGACCUCGGAUUCAGGUAGGGUUACCCGCUGAACUUAAGCAUAUC
rnacentral:rRNA from 1 species